rnacentral:rRNA from 1 species
GACGAACGCUGGCGGCGUGCUUAACACAUGCAAGUCGAACGGAAAGGCCCUGCUUUUGUGGGGUGCUCGAGUGGCGAACGGGUGAGUAACACGUGAGUAACCUGCCCUUGAUUUUGGGAUAACUUCAGGAAACUGGGGCUAAUACCGGAUAGGAGCUCCUGCUGCAUGGUGGGGGUUGGAAAGUUUCGGCGGUUGGGGAUGGACUCGCGGCUUAUCAGCUUGUUGGUGGGGUAGUGGCUUACCAAGGCUUUGACGGGUAGCCGGCCUGAGAGGGUGACCGGCCACAUUGGGACUGAGAUACGGCCCAGACUCCUACGGGAGGCAGCAGUGGGGAAUAUUGCACAAUGGGCGGAAGCCUGAUGCAGCAACGCCGCGUGCGGGAUGACGGCCUUCGGGUUGUAAACCGCUUUCGCCUGUGACGAAGCGUGAGUGACGGUAAUGGGUAAAGAAGCACCGGCUAACUACGUGCCAGCAGCCGCGGUGAUACGUAGGGUGCGAGCGUUGUCCGGAUUUAUUGGGCGUAAAGGGCUCGUAGGUGGUUGAUCGCGUCGGAAGUGUAAUCUUGGGGCUUAACCCUGAGCGUGCUUUCGAUUCGGGUUGACUUGAGGAAGGUAGGGGAGAAUGGAAUUCCUGGUGGAGCGGUGGAAUGCGCAGAUAUCAGGAGGAACACCAGUGGCGAAGGCGGUUCUCUGGGCCUUUCCUGACGCUGAGGAGCGAAAGCGUGGGGAGCGAACAGGCUUAGAUACCCUGGUAGUCCACGCUGUAAACGGUGGGUACUAGGUGUGGGGUCCAUUCCACGGGUUCCGUGCCGUAGCUAACGCUUUAAGUACCCCGCCUGGGGAGUACGGCCGCAAGGCUAAAACUCAAAGGAAUUGACGGGGCCCCGCACAAGCGGCGGAGCAUGCGGAUUAAUUCGAUGCAACGCGUAGAACCUUACCUGGGUUUGACAUGGAUCGGGAGUGCUCAGAGAUGGGUGUGCCUCUUUUGGGGUCGGUUCACAGGUGGUGCAUGGCUGUCGUCAGCUCGUGUCGUGAGAUGUUGGGUUAAGUCCCGCAACGAGCGCAACCCUUGUUCACUGUUGCCAGCACGUUAUGGUGGGGACUCAGUGGAGACCGCCGGGGUCAACUCGGAGGAAGGUGGGGAUGACGUCAAGUCAUCAUGCCCCUUAUGUCCAGGGCUUCACGCAUGCUACAAUGGCUGGUACAGAGAGUGGCGAGCCUGUGAGGGUGAGCGAAUCUCGGAAAGCCGGUCUCAGUUCGGAUUGGGGUCUGCAACUCGACCUCAUGAAGUCGGAGUCGCUAGUAAUCGCAGAUCAGCAACGCUGCGGUGAAUACGUUCCCGGG